UUUAUUGGUUUACAAGCUCUUUGUUCUCAGGGCAAAUGGGAGAGGUAAGAAGGGAUGAGGAAAAGAAUUAAUCAGUAAAGGAGAACUUGUGAGUCAUUCAAUAAAAUGUAUAGCAGUGGCGGUUUCUGUCAAUUUCCUCGAGCAAAGGCGUGUGUCUAAACUACUUAAGCUCUUACCAGGACCGAAACAGGUGGGAGCGGGUUUCAGCAGGAGCCAAGUUGUUUGAUUAUACUCCAGUACUUCAAGGGAGUGUUAUCUCCCCACGCACCCGUGGCAUGCCCCGAGCUGUUAUGCUCUCGGGGCAUCAAGACAUGAAGGCAAUAAGGAUGUGUCUGGAAUUGGUGGGUUCUUGGUCUCACUGACUUCAAGAAUGAAGCCGCAGACCCUCGUGGUGAGUGUUACAGUUCUUAAAGGUGGCGUGUCCGGAGUUUGUUCCUUCUGAUGUUCGGAUGUGUUCGCUCUUCUGGUGGGUUCGUGGUCUUGCUGGCUCAGGAGUGAAGCUGCAGACCUUCGCAGUGAGUGUUACAGCUCUUAAGGUGGCACGUCUGGAGUUGUUCUCUCCUCCCAGUGGGUUCGUGGUCUCGCUGGCUUCAAGAGUGAAGCUACAGACCUUCACGGCCAUCAAUAUCCAGAUGAUCCUCAGUGAGGGAUACCCUCCUGUCAAUAUUCAAGAGUCAUUCUUCUACAGAAGACCCUACACUGUCCAUAAGUGAGAAAUGACAGGGGCAAAACACUGCUGCUGUGUCCUUUGGACCUAACUGGAUAACACUUUCACUAACCCAUGGAGUUACUUUCAUGCCCUGAUAGCUAACAAGAGGCCAAGACUCACAGAACAACCACCACCACACCUGUCUGCAGUAAGCAAUUACCGAAGACAGAUCUUCGUCCAUUUGUCCUAAAGAAUUGGGGUCUUUGCGCCUUGAUGGGUGGAAUACUAUGGUAGGUAGCUAGUCAGACAUAAGCAGGGCAGAAGAGGGCCCCCUUCCCCAACCAGGAAUGUCAGGCAACCAUCACAUGAUGGUCAGGCAUUGUUAAACUGCCUCUGUAAAAUAAUUGUUCACAGCCCAUGCCAGAGAAAGGCAGUCUCUCAAUAAAAGGAAACACCUGAAACUGGGGACCAGCAGCUUCCCGAUAAGAUCUCAGGAGUUGGGUGAUUGGGCUUAAGGGUGUGCAUGAAGAAGCAAAACGGAAGAGUUUAACCGGCAUAUGACUUCCUUAGGACAUUUGACUGGUAAUGGAAGAACACCUCAAGUGAGCAUGUGUACAACUACAGUAAACACACUGCUCAUGCUUCCCUGCCAAACACCUGCAGGCCACUGCACAAGUAGAAAGCACACCCCAAGGGAAUUAUCAGGGGUGAAAGGAGAAAAGACCCCAAAAGUAUGCCAAUAUUUAAAGCCUUAAGUCAAAGGUCAAACCAUGCACUUGAUCUUUCAAGUCACCUACUUGGUACCUCUUCCAAAUGUACUUUACUUCCUUUCAAUCCUGCCCUAAAACUCUUUAAUAAAUUUAUCUCAUGCUCUAAAACAUACCUUGAUCUCUGCUUCUGCCUUAUGCCCCUCAGUUCUUUGUUCUAAACAGCCCUUUUUUUCUAAGGAGGCAAGAAUUGAGGUUGCUGCAGACGCCUACAUAUUUGUCGCCAGCAACAUACUUUGGUGCUGUGUGACUCAGAUAAAUUCCACUACUAACAUUUAUAGCAAAUUGUUCCAAUUUCUACUCCUGGACA
rnacentral:lncRNA from 10 species